UAAAUUUAAAGGGCCGCGGUAAUUUGACCGUGCAAAGGUAGCAUAAUAGUUAGUUUUUUAAUUGAAAUCUUGUAUGAAUGGUUGGACAAAAGAAAGACUGUCUCUAUAAUUUUUAUUGAAUUUAACUUUUAAGUGAGAAGGCUUAAAUUAUUUAAAAAGACGAUAAGACCCUAUAAAGCAUUUUGUUGGGGAGAUAGUAUUAUAAUUAAUAACUGAGAAUAGGUAAUACAAUUAUUGGUGAGUAGAUCCUAAUAUGUGGAUUAAAAGUUCAAGUUACUUUAGGGAUAACAGCGUUAUUUUUCUUGAGAGUUCAUAUCGAAAGAAAAGAUUGCGACCUCGAUGUUGAAUUAAAAUUUCUAAAUAAUUGCAGAAGUUAUUUAAGAAGGUCUGUUCGACCUUUAAAAUUUU
rnacentral:rRNA from 1 species